CCCUUUCCCCACCCCUCCAUUUCUCGCCAUGGCCCCUGCACUGCUCCUGGUCCCUGCUGCCCUCGCCUCUUUCAUCCUGGCCUUUGGCACCGGAGUGGAGUUCGUGCGCUUUACCUCCCUUCGGCCACUUCUUGGAGGGAUCCCGGAGUCUGGUGGUCCGGAUGCCCGCCAGGGAUGGCUGGCUGCCCUGCAGGACCGCAGCAUCCUUGCCCCCCUGGCAUGGGAUCUGGGGCUCCUGCUUCUAUUUGUUGGGCAGCACAGCCUCAUGGCAGCUGAAAGAGUGAAGGCAUGGACAUCCCGGUACUUUGGGGUCCUUCAGAGGUCACUGUAUGUGGCCUGCACUGCCCUGGCCUUGCAGGUAUGAGGCCCUGGCCUUGCAGCUGGUGAUGCGGUACUGGGAGCCCGUACCCAGAGGCCCUGUGUUGUGGGAGGCUCGGGCUGAGCCAUGGGCCACCUGGGUGCCCCUCCUCUGCUUUGUGCUCCAUGUCAUCUCCUGGCUCCUCAUCUUUAGCAUCCUUCUCGUCUUUGACUAUGCUGAGCUCAUGGGCCUCAAACAGGUAUACUACCAUGUGCUGGGGCUGGGCGAGCCUCUGGCCCUGAAGUCUCCCCGGGCUCUCAGACUCUUCUCCCACCUGCGCCACCCAGUGUGUGUGGAGCUGCUGACAGUGCUGUGGGUGGUGCCUACCCUGGGCACGGACCGUCUCCUCCUUGCUUUCCUCCUUACCCUCUACCUGGGCCUGGCUCAUGGGCUUGAUCAGCAAGACCUCCGCUACCUCCGGGCCCAGCUACAAAGAAAACUCCACCUGCUCUCUCGGCCCCAGGAUGGGGAGGCAGAGUGAGGAGCUCACUCUGGUUACAAGCCCUAUUCUUCCUCUCCCCCUGAAUUCUAAAUCCUUAACAUCCAGGCCCUGGCUGCUUCAUGCCAGAGGCCCAAAUCCAUGGACUGAAGGAGCUGCCCCUUCUACUACUUGAGACUUUAUUCUCUGGGUCCAGCUCCAUACCCUAAAUUCUGAGUUUCAGCCACUGAACUCCAAGGUCCACUUCUCACCAGCAAGAAAGAGCGGGGUAUGGAAGUCAUCUGUCCCCUCACUGUUUAGGGCAUGACACUCUCCCCCUCAACAGCCUCCUGAGAAGGUAAGGAUCUGCCCUGACCACUCCCCUGGCACUGUUACUUGCCUCUGCACCUCAGGGGUCCCCUUCUCCACCGCUGGCUUCCACUCCAAGAAGCUGGACCAGGGUCUGCAAGUUCAACGGUCACAACUGUCCCUCUAGGCCCCAACCUUGCCUCACCACUCCCAGCCGUAGUCUCUGCACCUCAUUAGGCCCUGCCUCUGGGCUCAGACCCCAACCUAGUCAAGGGGAUUCUCCUACUCUUAACUCGAUGACUUGGGGCUCCCUGCUCUCCCGAGGAAGAUGCUCUGCAGGAAAAUAAAAGUCAGCCUUUUUCUACAUA
rnacentral:sRNA from 1 species